rnacentral:rRNA from 1 species
UACGGAGGGUGCAAGCGAUAUCCGGAUUCACUGGGUUUAAAGGGUGCGUAGGUGGGCAGGUAAGUCAGUGGUGAAAUCUCCGAGCUUAACUCGGAAACUGCCAUUGAUACUAUCUGUCUUGAAUUAUCUGGAGGUGAGCGGAAUAUGUCAUGUAGCGGUGAAAUGCUUAGAUAUGACAUAGAACACCAAUUGCGAAGGCAGCUCACUACGGAUAUAUUGACACUGAGGCACGAAAGCGUGGGGAUCAAACAGG